rnacentral:lncRNA from 10 species
CACUUUGGGAGGCCGAGGCAGGCAGAUCAUCUGAGGUCAGGAGUUCAUGACCAGCCUGACCAACAUGGUGAGACACUGUCUCUACUAAAAAAAUACUAAAUUAGCUAGCUCUGGUGGCACAUGACUGUAAUCCCAGCUACUCAGGAGGCUGAGGCAGGAGAAUCGCUUGAACCUGGGAGGCGGAGGUUGCAGUGAUCAGAGAUUGCGCCAGCCUGGGCGACAGAGCAAAACUCCGUCUCAAAAAAAAAAAAAAAGAAAACCAUGCUCAUGUCCCGUUCAUCAAUUUCUCCUCUGAGAACUGAUGAUUCAGGACCAGCGAUAAGAAUGCAUCCUACAGCACCCAGCUGUGUGUAGCAGAGGGAAGACAAAUUUCUCCAGUCAUCAGUGAUGUAAAGUGAUCUGCACAGGGCCAGCAACAUCUUCUCAAAAUGAAGUUCACCAUGCUUUCUUUCUUUUUUGAUGGGAAUGGCAUAUUUGAUAAAAUUGGAACACAUUUUUUUAGCAAUUAAGAAAGAAAAAACAUUUUAAUAAAAUAAAUGAACCCUUGACUUGAAUGUAUUUUGAAGUGUUGUCUUUUGUCAAGCUUAAAUUUA